rnacentral:rRNA from 1 species
UACGGAGGGCGCAAGCGUUGAUCGGAAUCACUGGGCGUAAAGCGCGUGUAGGCGGCUUGGUAAGUCGGAUGUGAAAGCCCGGAGCUCAACUCCGGAACUGCAUUCGAAACGACCUCGCUCGAGUCCCGGAGAGGGUGGUGGAAUUCCCGGUGUAGAGGUGAAAUUCGUAGAUAUCGGGAUGAACACCAGUGGCGAAUGCGGCCACCUGGACGGUGACUGACGCUGAGCCGCGCAAGCGUGGGGAUCAUACCGG